rnacentral:rRNA from 1 species
GUGAGGAAUUUUCCGCAAUGGGCGAAAGCCUGACGGAGCAAUGCCGCGUGAAGGAUGAAGGCCUAUGGGUUGUAAACUUCUUUUCUCAGAAAAGAAUUAUGACGGUAUCUGAGGAAUAAGCAUUGGCUAACUCUGUGCCAGCAGCCGCGGUAAGACAGAGGAUGCAAGCGUUAUCCGGAAUGAUUGGGCGUAAAGCGUCUGUAGGUUGUUUAAAAAGUAUUCUGUCAAAGAUUAGGGCUUAACCCUAGAUAGGCAGAAUAAACUUUUAAGCUAGAGUUUGGUAGAGGCAGAGGGAAUUCCCGGUGGAGCGGUGAAAUGCGUAGAUAUCGGGAGGAACACCAAAGGCGAAGGCACUCUGCUGGGCCAAUACUAACACUGAGAGACGAAAGCGAGGGGAGCAAAUGGGAUUAGAUACCCGAGUAGUCC